AUUGAACGCUGGCGGCAGGCCUAACACAUGCAAGUCGAACGAGUGGCGGACGGGUGAGUAAUGUCUGGGAAACUGCCUGAUGGAGGGGGAUAAAUACUGGAAACGGUAGCUAAUACCGCAUACCAUCAGAUGUGCCCAGAUGGGAUUAGCUUGUUGGUGGGGUAACGGCGAACCAAGGCGACGCUCCCUAGCUGGUCUGAGAGGAUGACGUGCCACACUGGAACUGAGACACGUUCAGUACUCCUACGGCAGGAAGCAGUGGGGAAUAUUGCACAAUGGGCGCAAGCCUGAUGCAGCCAUGCGGCGUGUAUGAAGCAGGCCUUCGGGUUGUAAAGUACUUUCAGCGGGGAGGCGUUACCCGCAGAAGAAGCACCGGCUAACUCCGUGCCAGCAGCCGCGGUAAUAC
rnacentral:rRNA from 1 species